GAUGAAGAACGUAGCGAAAUGCGAUACGUAAUGUGAAUUGCAGAAUUCAGUGAAUCAUCGAAUCUUUGAACGCAUAUUGCGCUCUCUGGUAUUCCGGAGAGCAUGCUUGUUUGAGUAUCAGUAAACACCUCAACUUCCAUAUCUUUUUUGAAAUGGGAGUUGGACUUGAGUGAUCCCAACGCUUUUCCUCACCGAAAAGUGGCGGGUUACUUGAAAUGCAGGUGCAGCUGGACUUUUCUCUGAGCUAUAAGCAUAUCUAUUUAGUCUGCCUAAAAAACAGAUUAUUACCUUUGCUGCAGCUAACAUAAAGCAGAUUAGUUCUUGUGCUGACUGAUGCAGGAUUCACAAAGACGGCUUCGGCCGACUUUGUAAACUCGAUCUCAAAUCAAGUAAGACUACCCGCUGAACUUAAGCAUAUCAAUAAGCGGAGGA
rnacentral:misc_RNA from 1 species